GAACACAUGAAAAAUUAGUCUCUGAUCAGGAGCAUUAUCCAAAAGAAAACAAAAUACUCAUAUCCAUUUCUUUUAAUAUUGUGACACUAUUAUUUUGUUUAGAAAGAAAACACACCCCAAACUCCUUUCUUUAAUCCAAAAAUAUCACCUCUAAGAACUCCUGUUUGCAAGAUGAGGAGAGCAGAAGUAUUCUACACCCUUUUUCUCGAUCCUAAUAUUAUAUGUUAUCCUUUUUCCCUCACUUUCUUUCUUUGUGAUGGAUUGCUUUAAGGGUCAUUGUAACCUGACGUCAUGGACAUAAAGGAGUUGAAAAGUGGAAAAGUGAUAAAGAUGGUUCUGAAACUUUAUUUUCUUUAUUAUGAUCCUGACACUAUUAAAUAUCAUACAGGCAGCGGAGGGAUAAGGGAAGGAAAGAAAGGGAGAGAAAUUAUUUAUAUUUCCUUCCGAUUUAACUAGGGAAACUAAAAAAUUACCCAGAGUAAUGACAGUCAACCAGAAGCUUUGACAGCUUGUAAGGUAAAUAAUAGACAGUUCUUAAAGUAACAGUUUAUUAAAACCAGGAUCAAACGGAUUUUGGGGGGUGGGGGAACUUGGUCAAAUUAAUCAAAUAAACCGCAAUGAACGUUAAACAUAUCGAACAAGAUUAAAUGAUUAAAAGUUUAAACGUUCUUCUUGUUUCCAGACCACCCCUAAUUCUGCUACACCAUAAACUGCAAGUACUGAACAAAUGUUCAAAACCCAUACUCCAUAAGCUCUGGUGUCAAAAGGAGUUUAUCUUGUCUCAUAAUUUCACAAUGAUACAGGAAAAAAGGUUUCCCACUAGGCUGUUAAUAAACUACGAAACGGCAGUAAAGUACAGAUCGGGGAAAUGGCACACAAGAACCGGUCUACCUAUCCAACUACGUCCACGCAACUCUACUGGUGAGAAAGGUAAAGAGACAAGCCGCUCAGAGUCCGAGAGACGCGGAGACAACAUUUCUAACCCAGCACGUGGCUCUGGGCACCCUUCCCCAUCAUCUGGAACUCGGGAAGCCCGAGCUGCUGAUUCACCGCUCCUCGGUUCCACCCGACGGCUUCCCCCCAAGGAAGUAAAUAAACGCCUGAACUCAGCCUCCUGACGGCCGGCGGGGUCGCCCCGCCCUUGGCUACUCGACCACCUGAGGCCUCAGGGCCGGGGGAGCACCUGACCCGAACAGCCUCUGAGCUCGCGAGGCCCUCAGCACUGCCCGGCGAGAAGACAGCAAGCGGGGCUCGCGCCGCGGCCUCGACCUGCUCUGAGAAGAACCUCUCGGUCCUCUGGAGGACCACGGGCAGCACCCGGAGAACUCACGUGACCCCCUUCCCGAAAACAGCGGCUCCCGCCCGCCUCCGCGCGGGCCGCCGGCCCAGAUUCCCUGCCAGGAGGAGGGAGGGGCUGGGCCGCCGCCGCUCCCGGAAGUGACGUCACGUCGAGGGCGCCCGCCUCAGGGGCGUGAGUCGUGGUCUCAGGGGUCCUCGGCGCCUGGGUCGAACCUAGUUUGUGCUGAAUCCAGUUUACCUGGAGAAGGGGUGAAGCUGAGAAGUUCAGUCUAGCCGCUCAGUCAUGUCCGACCCUUUGCGACCCCAUGGACUGCAGCAUGCCAGACCUCCCUGCCCAUUGCCAACUCCUGGGGCUGGCUGAAACUCAUUUGAAGCUGAGAAGACUGGAAGACAAUUGGCGUUUUCAAUUUUUUGCUUCAGUGGGGUGCAAGGACCUUUCCACUGGACUUCCAGGCUCUCACAAAGCUGUGCUUCCUGUUGCAGGUGCUGCCUCUACUGGCGGGAGUCAGAGAUGCCGUGUUAGAUGAGAGUGCGCAAGAUCGCGACAUAGCUCGUAGAAAUGUGAAAACAGCAGAAGUGAAGGAUGGUUAGACUCGCAAAGAUCUAGCACUGUUUGAUGAGCAAAACAAAGAAGAGCAGCCAUCCUCAUGCAGCUUACACGGACGGGAACAGACAGAAGACAACUCCACAGCGAACGGAUAAAUGUUUACUAUGAUAGGGGCGGAUAUGUUUGGGAACCUGAAGGAAUAAAUCAGGGUAGAGGGAAUGGGAGAAGGUGGUCAAAGUGGAGCGGGGAGAGAGGAGUCAGCAGCGCUAGCAUGGGUCUCCUGCGAAAACGCGAUCGGAGGGAAGUCGCGGGCAUUAGUCACCCAAGAGUCCUCUUGGAGGAGGAGCAGUUCAGGCGGAGGGAUCGGCAGAGUCACGGGCCGCAGACGGAAACUGAUCUGGGCUCUUGGAGACCCAGCAAGGAGGCCGGUGACGGGAACCGGGCGAGCGCGGGCAGAAGCAGGGUGUCGGGGGACGUAGGGUCUUCCAGGUAUCCUAAGGACUCUUGUUGUUGUUGCUCAGCUGCUCCGUCACGUCUUACGUGCACUGCACCUCGUCAGGCUUCCCCAUCCUUCAAGACCUCCUGAAGCUUGCUCAGACUCAAGUCUGUUGAAGGAAACAAUUAGAAAAUGGCUGUCUACAAAACCGGAAGACUGCCUUCAACAAGAAUUCAAGCAUGAGCGCACCCUGAUCUCAGACUUCCAGCCUCCAGAACUUUGGCUUGUGCUUGCUCUGUCUUGCCAACUCUCGCGACGCAGUGCAUUU